AGGGUAAUUUUGCGCAUGCUGGUUUUCCUGAAAUUGCUUUUGGGCGAUACUCUGACACACUGAUUCAGAAAGGCUACAAGGUGGCACGAGUUGAGCAAACAGAAACUCCAGAAAUGAUGAAGGAAAGAUGCAAGAAGACUCACUCAAAUUCUAAGAGUGAUCAAGUGGUGAGGAGGGAAAUAUGUGCUGUAAUCACAAAAGG